rnacentral:sRNA from 1 species
AUAAGAGAUUUAUUGUCGGACCGCCUGACGAACACAGCAGAAAAUGGUUCUAUUCAAAUUUGUUCUCAUAGCACUUUCAACACUGCAGAUGAUAAACAAUGCGAACUCUACAGAGGUUGAUGGAGAUUUUUGCAACCGGCAACAUCUUAAGCUUGAGAUGGAAGGUUCUACGAAUAUUGAAGUCGAUUCUUGCGAGGAUUUCUAUGACUAUGACUGUGGUAAUUGGACCCAACGUGUACACUGUGAUCAAUCUGACCACCUAAAUAAACUGCCAUUGGAAAACAGUACUGGAUUGGAACAGCAGGCCUAUGAGUUUUAUCAAUCCUGCAAUAAUAUCGAGUUCUUCUCGACGAGGGCGUACUUACUGUGGCUGGAGCUUACCAAGAAUUUAAGCCUAUCUACGAUCCUUACUUCGAGGGAGCUAUGGAUUUGGCGGAAACAUUGGUAGUUUUACACAAGCAAGACUCUAUAGCGUUUUUGUGAACUUUAUCGGAGCAAAAAAUGAGGAUUUCUCUGAAGAAGAAAGUCCCACAAAAUUGUCUAUAGCUUUGAUCUCCUUGAUUGGAAAAUAAAUGGAUUAAACGAGUUAUGAUAAGUAA